rnacentral:tRNA from 1 species
GGAGAGGUACCCAAGUGGCCAAAGGGGGCAGACUGUAAAUCUGUUGUCUUUCGACUUCGCAGGUUCAAAUCCUGCCCUCUCCACCA